UUUGUAGGUGGCUUGUUAAGUCAGACGUGAAAUCCCUCAGCUUAACUGGGGAACUGCGUCUGAUACUGGCGAGCUUGAGUGCAGGAGAGGAACGCGGAAUUCCAGGUGUAGCGGUGAAAUGCGUAGAUAUCAGGAGGAACACCGGUGGCGAAAGCGCUCAUCUGGCCCAAUACUGACGCUGAGGCGCGAAAGCUAGGGAGCAAACG
rnacentral:rRNA from 1 species